rnacentral:rRNA from 1 species
CCUACGGGAGGCAGCAGUGGGGAAUAUUGGGCAAUGGGCGCAAGCCUGACCCAGCAACGCCGCGUGAAGGAAGAAGGCCUUCGGGUUGUAAACUUCCUUUGACAGGGAAGAGAAGACGACGGUACCUGUCGAAUAAGCCACGGCUAAAUACUUGACAGCAGCCGCGGUAAUACGCAGGAGGCAAGCGUUGUCCGGAUUUACGGGGUGUAAAGGGCGUGUAGUCGGGCUGACAAGGCAGAUGUGAAAUCCGGGGGCCCAACUCCCGAACUGCAUUUGAAACUGUUGGUCUUGAGUAGCGGAGAGGCAUGCGGAAUUCGUGGUGUAGCGGUGAAAUGCGUAGAUAUUAGGCGGAACCCCGGUGGCGAAGGCAGCCUGCUGGACGCCAACUGACGGUGAGGCGCGAAAGCGUGGGGAGCGAACAGGAUUAGAUACCCGUGUAGUC